CGGCACGCCUAACACAUGCAAGUCGAACGAAGUAGCAAUACUUAGUGGCAGACGGGUGAGUAACAUGUAGGUAUCUACCCUUUGGCCUGGAAUAACACGAGGAAACUUGUGCUAAUACUGGAUAAGUCUUUACGGAGAAAGCUUUAUGCACCAUUGGAUGAGCCUGCACUUGAUUAGUUUGUUGGUGGGGUAAUGGCCUACCAAGACUGUGAUCAAUAGCUGAUUUGAGAGGAUGAUCAGCCACAUUGGGACUGAGACACGGCCCAAACUCCUACGGGAGGCAGCAGUGGGGAAUCUUGCACAAUGGAGGAAACUCUGAUGCAGCGAUGCCGCGUGAGUGAAGAAGGCCCUUGGGUUGUAAAGCUCUUUCGUCGGGGAAGAAAAUGACUGUACCCGAAUAAGAAGGUCCGGCUAACUUCGUGCCAGCAGCCGCGGUAAUACGAAGGGACCUAGCGUAGUUCGGAAUUACUGGG
rnacentral:rRNA from 1 species